rnacentral:lncRNA from 1 species
CUUCCGUACUCUAAGAUUUGUUAUUUGAGACAUACACCGGAUUUCCUGUACUGUCACAUGGCGUUUUUAAACAUAAAGUAUUCAGCUCUUAGUAAUUGUGCAAUAAAUGUUGGUUUACUAACAGCCUAGCAACAUAAUAAGGCUGUUGGAUUUGACAGAACGUGCAGAAAAUAAGUGCUGAUUGUUUCUCAGAGCUCGCCUUUGUAUUUCUGCUAAGUAUAUUUAGCUAGUCUGCUGACGAAAUGAAAAACUGAACAGUGGAAUUUGUACUCAGGAAGUUAUGUAACAUUUUAUGACAGGUCUUAAAAUAAUGAAAAUUCAGCCACUGAAUGUUUCAAACAUGUAUUUGCUGUGUUGCCAAAGUAGAAAGAGCAGAAGACAACCACCAUGGGAAGAAAGACUAUUUUGCUUCUGAUUGCAGGAGUACUUGGGCAUAUUAUGUUUAUAUUCCUCUCCCAGAUAACAUUGAGGAACCCUGGCAACUAGUGUGGAUAGCUAUACCUGUGAAAAUGAUAACAAAUUUGGCUUUGUUAGUCGAAUUCUUGGGAAUCAAUCAUUUUGUAAACAC